UAGGGAAUAUUGCUUAAUGGGCGCAAGCCUGAAGCAGCAACGCCGCGUGUGCGAUGAAGGCCUUCGGGUCGUAAAGCACUUUUUGGAGGGAUGAGGAAGGACAGUACCUCCAGAAUAAGCCUCGGCUAACUACGUGCCAGCAGCCGCGGUAACACGUAGGAGGCAAGCGUUAUUCGGAUUUACUGGGCGUAAAGCGCAUGUAGGCGGCUCGGAAAGUUGGAUGUGAAAGCUCCCGGCUUAACUGGGAGAGGUCGUUCAAUACUUUCGGGCUAGAGGAUGGGAGAGGGAGGUGGAAUUCCGGGUGUAGUGGUGAAAUGCGUAGAUAUCCGGAGGAACACCAGUGGCGAAAGCGACCUCCUGGCCCAAACCUGACGCUCAGAUGCGAAAGCUAGGGUAGCAAACGGGAUUAGAAACCCCAGUAG
rnacentral:rRNA from 1 species